AGAGUUUGAUCCUGGCUCACGNNNNNNGCUGGCGGCGUGCUUAACACAUGCAAGUCGAACGAGCCGAUUUAGAAGCUUGCUUUUAAUGAGUCGAGUGGCAAACGGGUGAGUAACGCGUAGACAACCUGCCGCAAAGAUGGGGACAACAGUCCGAAAGGACUGCUAAUACCGAAUGUUGUAUCUCCUCCGCAUGGAAGAGAUAUUAAAGAUGGCCUCUACUUGUAAGCUACCGCUUUGCGAUGGGUCUGCGUCUGAUUAGCUAGUUGGUGGGGCAACGGCCUACCAAGGCGACGAUCAGUAGCCGGUCUGAGAGGAUGAAACGGCCCCUUGGAACUGAGACACGGCCAAACUCCUACGGGAAGGAGCAGGGGGGAAUCUUCCGCAGGGGCGAAAGCCUGACGGAACAACUCCCUUUGAUUGAAAAAGGUCUUCGGAUCUAAAAG
rnacentral:rRNA from 1 species